rnacentral:lncRNA from 1 species
UAGAAUAUAUUAGACAAACUAGAGAAAAUCAAGAAAAUCUAAAUAAUGAAAUUAAUUAUAGAAACCGAAUUAGACAAAUAAUGAAAGACCUAAAAGAAAAAUUAAUAUGGAUAGAAAAAACUUUAGAAAAUUUAGAUAAAAAUACAUGUGAUAGUUUGUAUAAUUUAAAAAACUCACUACGAGAAGAACAACACAAGAUAAUAAAUAACAUUGAAAAUCUAGAAUUAGAUAUAUAUUAUAGUACAGAUAGGAUAAAUUAUUAUACAAGAUUUGUAACUCU